UACAGAGGGUGCGAGCGUUGUCCGGAAUUACUGGGCGUAAAGGGCGCGUAGGCGGCCUGAUAAGUAGGGGGUGAAAUUCCGUGGCUCAACCACGGAACUGCCUUCUAAACUGCCAGGCUUGAGCACGGUAGAGGCAGAUGGAAUUCCCGGUGUAGCGGUGGAAUGCGUAGAUAUUGGGAGGAACACCGGUGGCGAAGGCGGCCAUCUGGGCUAUAACUGACGCUGAGGCGCGAAAGCGUGGGGAUCAAACAGG
rnacentral:rRNA from 1 species